GUUCUUCGUUCGCACGCACGCUUCAAGGGAAUGUCGGGAUUGUGGUUGCUGAAUGGGGACAUUGAUAGGGGUCAUCGUGCUGCGAUAUGGUAUGAGCGCAAGCUUGAGCCUCUGGUCACUCGCACUCCUAAGGAAAACUGGAAGAUACACUCAGGAUGGCUUCAGCGGUUGAAAUGGGCCGGCCUUUUACCUUUCCCGCGUCUGGUUGAGUCUAUCCCGGGUGAGAAACGCCUCGCCAUCGAUGGGUCUUUGCUGAGCUGCUUAGUGGACCGUUGGAGGCCAGAGACCCACACGUUUCACUUCAGAUGGGGA